rnacentral:rRNA from 1 species
AACGAACGCUGGCGGCAGGCCUAACACAUGCAAGUCGAGCGCGCCCUUCGGGGUGAGCGGCGGACGGGUGAGUAACGCGUGGGAACGUGCCCUUUUCUACGGAAUAGCCUCGGGAAACUGAGAGUAAUACCGUAUACGCCCUUUGGGGGAAAGAUUUAUCGGAAAAGGAUCGGCCCGCGUUGGAUUAGGUAGUUGGUGGGGUAAUGGCCUACCAAGCCGACGAUCCAUAGCUGGGUUGAGAGGAUGAUCAGCCACACUGGGACUGAGACACGGCCCAGACUCCUCCGGGAGGCAGCAGUGGGGAAUCGUAGACAAUGGCGGCAACCCUGAUCUAGCCAUGCCGCGUGAGUGAUGAAGGCCUUAGGGUUGUAAAGCUCUUUCAGCUGGGAAGAUAAUGACGGUACCAGCAGAAGAAGCCCCGGCUAACUCCGUG